GCAGCUCCCGCUGCUGCUCCGACCUCUGCUCCAUGUCCUGCAUCUGCUGCUCACAGCGCUUGCUGUAUGGGAUUAAUUCAUACGGGAUUAAUAGGGGAUUAAUAGGGGAUUUAUAGGGGACUAAUAGGGGAUUAAUAGGGGAUUAAUAGGGGACUAAUAGGGGAUUUAUAGGGGACUAAUAGGGGAUUAAUAGGGGAUUAAUAGGGGACUAAUAGGGGAUUAAUAGGGGAUUAAUAGGGGACUAAUAGGGGAUUAAUAGGGGACUAAUAGGGGAUUAAUAGGGGAUUAAUAGGGGACUAAUAGGGGAUUAAUAGGGGAUUAAUAGGGGAUUAAUAGGGGAUUAAUAUGGGGUUAAUGGGAUUAAUGGGGUUCAUGGGAUUAAUGGGAUUGGGAUUGGGAUUAUAUUGGGAUCAAUGGGAUUGGGAUUGGGAUCAAUGGAAUUGGGAUCAAUGGGAUUGGGAUUAAUGGGAUUGGGAUCAAUGGGAUUGGGAUUAUAUUGGGAUUAAUAGGAUUGGGAUUAAUGGGAUCAAUGGGAUUGGGAUCAAUGGGAUUGGGAUUAUAUUGGGAUCAAUGGGAUUGGGAUUAAUGGGAUCAAUGGGAUUGGGAUUAAUGGGAUUGGGAUCAAUGGGAUUGGGAUUAAUGGGAUUUGUGGGAUUAGGAUUGGGAUUAAUGGGAUUAGGAUUGGGAUUGGGAUUAAUGGGGUUCAUGGGAUUAAUGGGAUUAGGAUUGGGAUUAGGGUUAGGAUUGGGAUUAAUGGGAUUGGGAUUAAUGGGAUUAAUGGGAUUAGGAUUGGGAUUAAUGGGAUUGGGAUUGGGAUCAAUGGGAUUGGGAUUAAUGGGAUUAGGAUUGGGAUCAAUGGGAUUGGGAUUAAUGGGAUUAGGAUUGGGAUUAAUGGGAUUAAUGGGAUUAGGAUUGGGAUUAGGAUUGGGAUUAAGGUUAGGAUUGGGUAAUGGGGGCUCUAGGGGUCCUAUAGGGGGGGUAAUGGUGCGUCUUAUUGGUGGGGUAAUAGGGCGGAUGAUUGCGGGGGUAAUAGGGGAUAUGGGGUUAAGGGGGGCUAUGGGGGGUAAUAGGGGGCUAUGGGGGGGUAUAGGGAUAUGGGGGUAAUAGCGGGCUAUGGGGGUAAUGGGGGGCUGUGGGGGGCAAUGGGGGCUAUGGGGGGUAAUGGGGCUAUGGGGGGAUAUAGGUAAUGGGCGGCAUGGGCACCGGUAAUAGGGGGGAUUAUGGGGGUUAAUGGGGGAUAUGGGGGCGUUUAAUGGGGUGAUAUGGGGGGUAAUAGGUGCGGAUUAUGGGCCGUGUAGGGGGAUAUUGGGGUAAUAGGGAUUGUAGGCGAGGUAAAUGGGGGAUAAUGGCGGGGCUAUGGGCGGUAAUAGGGGGAUAUGGCGGGGUUAAUAGGGGGUAUAUGGGGUUAAGGGGGGGCUAAGGGGAGUAAUGCGGGGCUAUGGGGCGGUAAUGGGGGGCUGUGGCGGUAAUGGGGGGCUAUUGGGGGAUAUAGGGGGUAAUGGAGGGGGUAAAUGAGGGGCUUUGGGAGGUUUAAUAGGGGUCUAUGGGGGAGAAUGGGGCUAUGGGGGAACUAGGGGGGUA
ensembl:lncRNA